rnacentral:rRNA from 1 species
CCAAUAGCGUAUAUUAAAGUUGUUGCAGUUAAAAAGCUCGUAGUUGAACUUCGGGGUCUACCCAUUGGUCAGGCUUAAUUGUCUGCACUGGUGAGAUGGAUCUCUACCUUCUGAGGAACUUUCAUGCCAUUUAUUUGGUGUGAUGGGAAAUCAGGACUGUUACUUUGAAAAAAUUAGAGUGUUUAAAGCAGACUAUCGUCUGAAUACAUUAGCAUGGAAUAAUGAAAUAGGACGGACUGAUUCUAUUUCGUUGGUUUCUAGGAUCACCGUAAUGAUUAAUAGGGAUAGUUGGGGGCAUUAGUAUUCAAUUGUCAGAGGUGAAAUUCUUGGAUUUAUUGAAGACUAACUACUGCGAAAGCAUUUGCCAAGGAUGUUUUCAUUAAUCAAGAACGAAAGUUAGGGGAUCGAAGACGAUCAGAUACCGUCGCAGUCUUAACCAUAAACUAUGCCGACUAGGGAUCGGACGAAGUUAAUUUUAUAAUGACGCGUUCGGCACCUUACG